GUGUGGUAUGAGUGCCAAUGAGAAAAUAGUCCAUCAGUUUCGAUGCCAAACAUCACAGUAUAUUUAAGUCUUAGCAUUAUUUAUGUUGAAUUUCAUUUGUUAUCCUGUAUCACAAUUGUUUUAAAUAUACUGUUAUGUUUGGAAUACAAAAUAUAAUUGCUAUAUGUUAACUUUAUUUCUAAGCUGGCACUCACAUUUAAAUAUUUUUCUAUCUUUGUGUUGGUAAAUAAAUGCAUUUGUCUUACAUUCAGGCUAAGACUAGAACUGUAACUUAUCAUUUGUUGAUUUGUACUCAUUCGUUCACUUGUUUAUGAUCCUUUUUAUAUUUCCAGUGAGAUAAUGCCGGGCGAUAUAUCAGGCCCAGAUUUACAACUAGCUAGACCAAAGACAAGUCCAGCAGCUAUUACUAGAACCGGAAGAAGAGGAAAAUCAAAACAGGAGGAAUCAACUCCGGAAUAUCAUGUUGAAUUACUUGAAUACGAAUGGCCUGAUUUACCACCGAUUCCGCAUAUGAAAGAUGCAAUAACAAGAGAGAAAGUAAGCAAGGGUAUCAGUUACCUCUUACCAAUUGAUAAAGCUAAAAACUCGAUUGAUAACAAAUACAGAACGGACCUCAGGGCCAUGUUUCAAGAGCCGUAUGCUAAUGACGACCUUGGAUACGAUGAUAGCAAGGUCAAACUUAGUGCGCAUGUACAUUUUGAUACAAAUGCCGUGGACACAAAAUGGUCAAAAUCUUUACUGAAGCAAAUACCUGUAGAAAUCAAUUCAGAUUCUGAUAAAUUUAGGAAAUUGUAUGCACGUUCAGCGCCAAUUGGGCGCUCAAAAACAAUGGGUUUGGAUACGGACAAAAUAAGAACCCGAUCAUGCCGUUAUCUACCAAUGAAAACAGUUCAACAUCCUGAAGCUAUGGAACUCCGACAGGAAGUAGAAAAAAUAAUCAGAACUGUAUAUAGUGAUAAUGAGGAUAGCGAUGUUGAGACGGAGGUGGGGGAUACCAACGCCUCCCGUCAUGGCAGGCGGUUUUCACUUUAUCCUAGACGAGUUUCUGAGUAUAGACCACGUUUAAAUACAGAAACUGAUAGCUACCAGUCUAUUAAGCCGCCACGUUUAAAACUAACAGCGGAUAAAUUUAAUAGUUAUGAACAAUUGAAAUUCACGAAACCACCUAAAGCAGUGAUACCGGAACUAUUUAUAUGUAAACAUAUUAAAAAAGAACGUGCUCAAGAAAUUUGGGAAUGGUUACAUUACGGGGAAGAAAUGUCAGAAUUUGAAUAUUUUCUAUCUGUAUGUGGGUAAAUAAAUGCAUUUGUUACAUAAAGUUUGUUGUGGACGACUUUUUCAGAAUGUAUAUGCAAAGUACACCAGAAAGUCCCAACCCAUAGCCCUCAUAUCCAUGGACUAUAUUGAAUGGGCAUUUAUCGUCAGUCUUAAAUUACAAUUUAAGGAUCAAAAUGGACAAGUACAUAUGCAUUCUAUUAAGUAGAAACUGAAACCUUUU
rnacentral:lncRNA from 1 species